rnacentral:rRNA from 1 species
UACAGAGGGGGCAAGCGUUGUUCGGAAUUACUGGGCGUAAAGGGCGCGUAGGCGGCCUGCUAAGUCGAACGUGAAAUCCCCGGGCUCAACCCGGGAACUGCGUCCGAUACUGGAAGGCUUGAAUCCGGGAGAGGGAUGCGGAAUUCCAGGUGUAGCGGUGAAAUGCGUAGAUAUCUGGAGGAACACCGGUGGCGAAGGCGGCAUCCUGGACCGGCAUUGACGCUGAGGCGCGAAAGCUAGGGGAGCAAACGGG